ensembl:lncRNA
GAAAAGAAAUAUUGCUUUUAUUUUUUAAUACACUUUAAGUAAUGUACAAAACCAUUGUAAUUUUAUAAAACUUGUAAAAACAACAAAUAAAAACAAAUCCAGGACAGCAGAAUGGCAAGUGACACAUAACCCCACAAUACUGAAACUUCCAUUAAGGAAUUUUAGAAAACUGCAUUCCCAUGUUUGACAAAGCUGGAUCCCAAAAUAAGUUCAAAUGUCAGCACAGUAACAUAAUUAGCCUGAUUAACAAACAUUUGAAAAAUCAAAAUUAGCACCUACAAUUAACAUCUGGUUAAACACACUUCAACUGGAAAUUAAUAUGCAUUACAGCCUCCUGGAUCUCGGUGCAAAAAACAACUGACGUAGCUGAAAGACUGACCAGUCCAAAGUUGUUUAGAGGACCCAAACAUAUACCUUACAUAAAGUAAUUUGACAGCUGCAAGCUCGGAAAUAAAAACUCAUAGCAGAACUCUAAAGUCUCACUUCUGUUCCCAUAUAUACCUGUAUGAUAAUCUUUUCCAGUAUUACACUAGAAAUCUGUAGCAGGAUCAGAAAUUAUAUCCAGAUACUGGGGAUGCUUUGAUCAAAUGCUUCAAAUACAUGAUACAUGGAUUUCUUUCUUCGUCACCAGCCCUUGCCUUUUUCAGUAUCUUACCAUUGCACUGAAACACUUAUUUAAUGCUAUAAUUGGUCAAAUUGACUUUAGUGAAUAAAAAAUCCUGUUAGACAUUUCUAUAUUUCUACAUGCUUUCCCCUAUAAUCUUAACAUCUUUUACUGUAUUUUUUCUAGUCUCCUGUAAAAGCAAGCAAAACAUAAUUAAAAAACAAUUUCCACCACACCAAUCCUCCGUAGUAUAAGAUAAAAACAAGGCUAAAAUAUAAAACAAAAACCUCUACCGAAGAACCUCAUAACACCAGUUGGAUUCAGAUAAAGGGGUAAGAUACACAGUUGAAUAGCAAAUGACACAAUUAUUUUCUAGAAAGCAAAGAAGUGUUGUGAAUUAUGAACCACAGGCUCUAACCCUGGCCCUGAAGAACCUAAUUGAGACUGUCAGCAGUGUCAAUUGCCUAAGUAUGAUGUAUACCCUCCGAGUGGCAGCACAGCUAACUUGCAGGGACUCCCUGCCCAGAAUAGAGGUUUGCAGCCAAACUCAAGGCUCCUUUUUACUCUUUUUGCAGAAACCUUUCUUUUUCACCAGAGAUACACCCUGAUUAUAAUGUAGUUCAAGACUCAUUCAAUGCCAGAGUUUGGUAUCUUCAGAAAUAACAUAUAAAUGCAAGAACAAAUUUAUUAAUGCCAUAACCAAGAACAACUCUUCUGACUUCAGUGUGAGCAGCAAGAACCAUAUUUAGCCUCACGUAAUUACUUUAUGUUCCAGCAAUCUUUUUCCCGUCAUCACCAUACAUUCAGUUUACAUUGUGAAUGCCAUCUACAAAUUGUGAAUGUUAAAAGUAUUGCCAGAUAUCAAUGCCUGCAUUUGAUAUUAAAAAAAAAUUUAAAAAAUAAAAAAAAUUGUAUUAACCAGUGCAAAUAAAGAAUGUUUACAAGUCCUUACUCUAAUACUACAAGAUCAUGCAUUCUGUGUGCCAUUUCACAUUGUGUGAGUGUUCUGAUUUUCGAAUACAUGGCACUCAAAAAAACCCCACAGAUCAGAAAGUCACCCACCAAGAGGUCCUAAGGUCCUACAAGUGUGGAGAAGGCUCAGGUUGAUCCCAAAUAUGACUGCUAACUUCACAUUUCUUGAACAUAUCAAAGAAGAAAUUACUGGUUAAUCAAUGGAGGUCAGAGUAGUUCCGUCAGUUUAUUAACUGUCAGAAGUGCUGACAGAAAGCUAAUUAAACUCAUGCUGCAGCUCCGGGACCAGCACAUGCUUAGCUCAAUUAUCACAUUUGCUUUGGGCAGCACUAUUACAACAGCAGCGCUUCUAAGUAACUACUUCACCUACUAGCACAGCUUCCUGAGCCAGGGCUUUGAAACAGAUCUGGAAGUCUUCAGAGAGAUCCAAUUCCAAAAAUCCUGCAUGAAAGGUAACAAGCAAUUGAGAUCCAUAGAGCACCAUUUGCAGAGGUAGAGAGACCAGGAUUUGGAAAAUGUUAUUGAAGUACAAAAAAGUAUACUAAUGCACCUGGUCACUGAUCAAUGCACUCAAGAGACCAUUAUUCUUAAUACACUGCUGUAUAGGUUUGCUUGAGAGCGGGACAUAUAAUCUGUAUAAAAACAUCAAAUUCAAAUAUGACUGGAAACACACAUGAUUCAGAAUACUUGUGUGUGUGUGCAUG